UUGUGUCCAUGUGGGCGUACCUCUUGCUUGGGGACUUGCAUAAAAGGCCAAGUGUGGCAACAUUAAAAUCUAUUCGGCUUACACUCCAAAACUGUGUGUUGUCCUGUUAUUGAAGGGAAAGAAGAUUUACUCCUGUGUCUGCUGUUCCAGCUUGCAGGGGAUUCAACAGAGAAAGUCGUUGUAAGGACUAGAGCUAAUUCCCC